rfam:Triticum aestivum genome assembly, contig: Triticum_aestivum_CS42_TGACv1_scaffold_471122_6AL
CUUAUACUCCCUCUGUCUCAAAAUUCUUGUAUUAGAUUUGUCUAGCUACGUAUCUAUCUAACACUAAAACGUAACUAGAUACAUCUGUACUUAGACAAAUUGAAGACAAGAAUUUUGGGACGGAGGGAGUAUUAU